AUUGAACGCUGGCGGCAGGCCUAACACAUGCAAGUCGAACGGUAACAGGAAGAAGCUUGCUUCUUUGCUGACGAGUGGCGGACGGGUGAGUAAUGUCUGGGAAACUGCCUGAUGGAGGGGGAUAACUACUGGAAACGGUAGCUAAUACCGCAUAACGUCGCAAGUCCAAAGAGGGGGACCUUCGGGCCUCUUGCCAUCGGAUGUGCCCAGAUGGGAUUAGCUAGUAGGUGGGGUAACGGCUCACCUAGGCGACGAUCCCUAGCUGGUCUGAGAGGAUGACCAGCCACACUGGAACUGAGACACGGUCCAGACUCCUACGGGAGGCAGCAGUGGGGAAUAUUGCACAAUGGGCGCAAGCCUGAUGCAGCCAUGCCGCGUGUAUGAAGAAGGCCUUCGGGUUGUAAAGUACUUUCAGCGGGGAGGAAGGGAGUAAAGUUAAUACCUUUGCUCAUUGACGUUACCCGAAGAAGAAGCACCGGCUAACUCCGUG
rnacentral:rRNA from 1 species